rnacentral:lncRNA from 1 species
GUCAGCCUGUGAUCCCAGUUCUGAAGAGUUGGGAAAAAGAAAAUCCUAACUCCAGGGCCAAUCUCUGCUAUCACAUAAAUGCACUGGACAUACUGGGAAUGUACUCUGUUAGGUCGAGGGCAGAGCACAGAUAGGAGUAAACUGACUUCAAAGACUAUAUUAAAAAAAAAAGACUUCUUACAAUUAUAGGUUGUUGUUUGAGCUUUUGUCUGGGCUUAGGGGUAUAGCUAGGUGGUAGAGUGCUUUUCUCUAGCAUGCACAGGGCUCUAGAUCAAGCCACAACCAUAAAAAUCAACAAAUAAAUCUGCCCUCUUAUUUUUAGAUAGAUAAGAAAGCCAUGUACAAAGCUGGAAUGGUACAGAGAGUCCAAAAUGAGGUGAAAAUACAUUGCCAGUUGAAACACCCCUCUGUCUUGGAGCUCUAUAAUUACUUUGAAGAUAACAAUUAUGUCUACCUGGUAUUGGAAAUGUGCCACAAUGGAGAAAUGAACAGAUAUCUGAAGAAC